rnacentral:rRNA from 1 species
GAUGAACGCUGGCGGCGUGCUUAACACAUGCAAGUCGAACGAUGAAGCCCAGCUUGCUGGGUGGAUUAGUGGCGAACGGGUGAGUAACACGUGAGUAACCUGCCCUUGACUCUGGGAUAAGCCUGGGAAACUGGGUCUAAUACUGGAUAUGACUUCUCAUCGCAUGGUGGGGGGUGGAAUGAUUUAUUGGUCUUGGAUGGACUCGCGGCCUAUCAGCUUGUUGGUGAGGUAAUGGCCCACCAAGGCGACGACGGGUAGCCGGCCUGAGAGGGUGACCGGCCACACUGGGACUGAGACACGGCCCAGACUCCUACGGGAGGCAGCAGUGGGGAAUAUUGCACAAUGGGCGCAAGCCUGAUGCAGCGACGCCGCGUGAGGGAUGACGGCCUUCGGGUUGUAAACCUCUUUCAGUAGGGAAGAAGCGAGAGUGACGGUACCUGCAGAAGAAGCGCCGGCUAACUACGUG